GUGAAUAUUUUACUUCUGCAAAAUGAAAACAGCAUUUCAUCAGAAGUUGUUUUAUGGUCUUUCAGACAUUUUAUUGUAUAUCUUUGGUGCUUUUUGCCCAUGAAGUAUCUCUUUUGUGUGUUUGUGUGUAUGUGUAUUGAUCUGCUGUAAAUUUCACAGCACUCAUUGUCAGGGAUCAGCAGAAUCAGGCCUAGGCAGAGAGCUGAGCAGU
rnacentral:lncRNA from 1 species